CCAGCCAACUAGCCAACCAACCAACCAGCCAACCAACCAACCAACCAACCAACCAACCAGCCAACCAACCAACCAACCAACCAACCAACCAGCCAACCAACCAACCAACCAACCAACCAACCAACCAACCAACCAACCAACCAGCCAACCAACCACAUGUUCUGUGCAGGGAAGAGCUCUCCUCUGCUCCUCUUUUCAACCUCACAGGAUCCUCGAGCAAGAAAACUGGUUUUAAGAUGGAAGUUAUUGUAGAAAUGUGAUGUUUAAAAAUCAAACAUUUUAAAAAUACAACUUUAAGCAGAGGCUGAAGCUGUUAAACCAUUGCACUCCUCUACAGAGGAAGAACAACUAGAUUGUGACACUGCAAGUAAGCCCAUAAUAAUGGGGAAUAUGCAUUUUCAGAAGCAGUAGAUAAGGAAAGAGCUCAAAGUCCAAGUGACUGGACAGAAUAUAAACUCAGGAAUACAAAACUCUAGCCUGGUUGCUGUAUCCAAGAGUUUGAACACUGAUAGAAGGGGAUUACUGACAGCUGCCUCAGCCAGACAUCACCACAGAGAAAUCAGCUCCUCUGACACCAAAACGCAUGGCAAAUCUCUUCAGAGCUUUCAGAAGGGUUUGUGCAAUAAAUCUUAACAGCCUGCUAAAACACAGCCAGUUGCUGAGGUCCCAGUGGAUUCAUGUGAAAUUUGCCCCCCUCCCCUUACAGGUUUCACUAAAGGAAAAAAAAUAACACUCCCCCUUGAGCCAUGAAGAGCACAGAGAGAGAAACCCUGUACAACAGCAGCCUGCACAUCAGAACAGUUUUAUUAUGGUCUUCUGGGCUAUUCUGAUAGAACAGUGCUUCUUUGUUAAGGCAAAUGUCAGCAGCAGACACUGAACACUUCUUCCAGACCGGAGCUUUUCACUUUCUCAGCCUCCACUGAUCAGCCUUGCCCAAUUUAUGUCAUUGAAACGUGAGCUCCAGGGUGCUUCAAAUGCUAGAAGCAGCUGUCUGCCAAGCUUCAAGCACUAAACAAAUGUUAGUUAAAAAAAAAAUAAAUUGUUAUCUACAGGUACCACU